rnacentral:other from 2 species
GUGUCGCUGCCCGGCGCGUGAGGACUUCAUAUUCCUGGGGCCUUAAUCGAUCUUGAGGGAGCUGUCCCUGACCGGGCCCGUGGGCUCGGACAUACGGCGCCCACCUACGUAAGUAGGUUCCCGGGAUCGCACGUCCCACGGCCAGGGUGGCCCCUAU